GUUUGGAAAUGGCUGAUGGUCAGUUGCCUGAGGACUCGACCAUCUAGUCUGGGUUGGUGAAUGGAGACCACGCUGAUGAGGACCAUUCGAUUAGCUUGUGACCUUUCAUUAACGAAAGUUUUGCACAGCCAAGCACAAGGAGAGGGAUGAAGGAGUCUUUGUAAUUUAUCAGACACAAGAAGGACCGGAGAAAAAUAAGGAGUGGAGCUGACCCUAGUUUAUUGCACAACUGAUUGUUCUUUUCCUGUUCACUAAUUGAUUUUUUGAAGCACCCGGGAGAGACGGUAUGAGGUGCACUUUCCUCAUUGAGAGUGGCUCUUCAUAUUUUUGUUGAUACUUUGCGAAUGACUCAUGAAUUCCAUUAUGAUUUGUGCUCUUAA